CGUGUCCAGCAAGGGCUCCAGAGAGCCCUGCCACUGCCUUCCUCCGGAGCUGUGAUCUGGACACUGGGUUUUAUGAUGCGAUAUUAACAGGGCUCUGCAAUCCUAGACGCUGUAAAUCUUCCUCUCGCUUCCUGCAGAAGUAAUUGCCUCACAUGCAUAAAACAGCCUGCUGAAAAGAGUUCCAGGCUUCUCCUCAGCUCCCUUUCCACCGAGUAAGCAUUCCUAUAAAGAUGGCUCUGGCACCCAGAUGGUCUGCGGGAGGAAAUCGUCGUCGGCAACUCAUCGUGCCAAGACACACAGAAGGUCUAUGGCUCACAAUGGAAAGUUCAGCAUCCCAGCUCCUGUAAUGAUGCUACCAACAUCUCAUCAUCUAGGGAAGCUGCACUAAGCCCAGGUUUCUACGUAAGAGAAAAAAGCUCUCUGGCAAGAAUCACUUGGAAAAACCCAAGUACUCGAGUGCAAAGCAAAGGUAGUAUUCGUUGGGGGAAGACUAUGGAGCACUGGGCUGGAGGACGGG